UAUUCUGCCCUACGGGGAAGGAUGAGAAGCUUCGACUAAGGUUCGACUCGAGCGAAGCGAGAGAACGUUGCCGCAGGCAUCGGCCCGAAGGGCGAGGCGCUUUAGCGCCGAGUAAUCCUUCCCCCACCACCA
rnacentral:sRNA from 2 species